rnacentral:misc_RNA from 1 species
UUUCUACAUCAUCUUCCAGAAGAAGAAACGAUGCUUCCAGAAUUUCGGAUGUGGAUAGUGGAGAUUCACGUGCACCUAGGAGGAGGAGGUUAAACUGAUUUGCGUUCCUUCUUAUCAUGUUCGGCCUCCAAAGCACCCCCUUCCCCCCUCCAUUACCCAUAUGUCAUUGAUACUUCUGAGUUUCUUUAGGUGUAUCGGUAGGAAAUGUACUCUUUUCCUUGAGUUUCAUGAUACCUUUUUCAGUUUACUGCUUAGUCUUCUACCAUUAGUUUCGUUAUCCGACAGGUCCAAGCUUUCCAGCUACAAGACAUAUGAAAAGAGGAAAAAAAAGUUGUUUAAAAUAAUCG